GAGACGUGGGGGGGGGGGCUAUACAUGCAAGUCGAACGCUUUGUGGUUCAACUGAUUUGAAGAGCUUGCUCAGAUAUGACGAUGGACAUUGCAAAGAGUGGCGAACGGGUGAGUAACACGUGGGAAACCUACCUCUUAGCAGGGGAUAACAUUUGGAAACAGAUGCUAAUACCGUAUAACAAUGACAACCGCAUGGUUGUUAUUUAAAAGAUGGUUCUGCUAUCACUAAGAGAUGGUCCCGCGGUGCAUUAGCUAGUUGGUAAGGUAAUGGCUUACCAAGGCGAUGAUGCAUAGCCGAGUUGAGAGACUGAUCGGCCACAAUGGGACUGAGACACGGCCCAUACUCCUACGGGAGGCAGCAGUAGGGAAUCUUCCACAAUGGGCGAAAGCCUGAUGGAGCAACGCCGCGUGUGUGAUGAAGGGUUUCGGCUCGUAAAACACUGUUGUAAGAGAAGAAUGACAUUGAGAGUAACUGUUCAAUGUGUGACGGUAUCUUACCAGAAAGGAACGGCUAAAUACGUGCCAGCAGCCGCGGUAAUACGUAUGUUCCAAGCGUUAUCCGGAUUUAUUGGGCGUAAAGCGAGCGCAGACGGUUAUUUAAGUCUGAAGUGAAAGCCCUCAGCUCAACUGAGGAAUUGCUUUGGAAACUGGAUGACUUGAGUGCAGUAGAGGAAAGUGGAACUCCAUGUGUAGCGGUGAAAUGCGUAGAUAUAUGGAAGAACACCAGUGGCGAAGGCGGCUUUCUGGACUGUAACUGACGUUGAGGCUCGAAAGUGUGGGUAGCAAACAGGAUUAGAUACCCUGGUAGUCCACACCGUAAACGAUGAGUGCUAGGUGUUUGAGGGUUUCCGCCCUUAAGUGCCGCAGCUAACGCAUUAAGCACUCCGCCUGGGGAGUACGACCGCAAGGUUGAAACUCAAAGGAAUUGACGGGGACCCGCACAAGCGGUGGAGCAUGUGGUUUAAUUCGAAGCAACGCGAAGAACCUUACCAGGUCUUGACAUCCCUUGACAACUCCAGAGAUGGAGCGUUCCCUUCGGGGACAAGGUGACAGGUGGUGCAUGGUUGUCGUCAGCUCGUGUCGUGAGAUGUUGGGUUAAGUCCCGCAACGAGCGCAACCCUUAUUACUAGUUGCCAGCAUUCAGUUGGGCACUCUAGUGAGACUGCCGGUGACAAACCGGAGGAAGGUGGGGAUGACGUCAAAUCAUCAUGCCCCUUAUGACCUGGGCUACACACGUGCUACAAUGGCGUAUACAACGAGUUGCCAACCCGCGAGGGUGAGCUAAUCUCUUAAAGUACGUCUCAGUUCGGAUUGUAGGCUGCAACUCGCCUACAUGAAGUCGGAAUCGCUAGUAAUCGCGGAUCAGCACGCCGCGGUGAAUACGUUCCCGGGUCUUGUACACACCGCCCGUCACACCAUGAGAGUUUGUAACACCCAAAGCCGGUGGGGUAACCUUCGGGAGCCAGCCGUCUAAGGUGAACAAAAUGGG
rnacentral:rRNA from 1 species